rnacentral:rRNA from 1 species
UACGAAGGGAGCUAGCGUUGUUCGGAAUCAUUGGGCGUAAAGCGCACGUAGGCGGAUUUGUAAGUCAGGGGUGAAAUCCCGGGGCUCAACCUCGGAACUGCCUUUGAUACUGCAAAUCUCGAGUCCGAUAGAGGUGGGUGGAAUUCCUAGUGUAGAGGUGAAAUUCGUAGAUAUUAGGAAGAACACCGGUGGCGAAGGCGGCCCACUGGAUCGGUACUGACGCUGAGGUGCGAAAGCGUGGGGAGCAAACGG